rnacentral:lncRNA from 1 species
AUGAUCAACUAACGUGAUAAAAGAUGGCACAUAUACUCUAGUGUUUAGAAUCUUUAAACUCUCAACAAACCCUCCCUACUUAACCUACAUUCAACACAUGAAUGUCAACUAAGGUAAUUGGAAUGAUGACUUGAAUUGAUUAAAUGCCACAAGAUGAAAACUUGAUAAGUUAAAUAAAUUUAAGAAGGAUUGAUAAAAUACCACAAGAACUUAUCUUGAUA